rnacentral:rRNA from 1 species
CGCACGGGUGAGUAACACGUAUCCAACCUGCCGUCUACUCUUGGCCAGCCUUCUGAAAGGAAGAUUAAUCCAGGAUGGCAUCAUGAGUUCACAUGUCCGCAUGAUUAAAGGUAUUUUCCGGUAGACGAUGGGGAUGCGUUCCAUUAGAUAGUAGGCGGGGUAACGGCCCACCAAGGCGACGAUCAGUAGGGGUUCUGAGAGGAAGGUCCCCCACAUUGGAACUGAGACACGGUCCAA